rnacentral:rRNA from 1 species
AUUGAACGCUGGCGGCAGGCCUAACACAUGCAAGUCGAACGAGUGGCGGACGGGUGAGUACUGUCUGGGAACCUGCCCGCUGGAUGGGGAUAACUACUGGAAACCGUCGCUAAUACCGCAUCCCAUCGGAUGUGCCCAGCUGGGAUUAGCUAGUAGGUGGGGUAACGGCUCACCUAGGCGCCGAUCCCUAGCUGGUCUGCGAGGAUGACCAGCCACACUGGAACUGAGACACGGUCCAGACGCCGACGGGAGGCAGCAGUGGGGAAUGUUGCACAAUGGGCGCAAGCCGGAUGCAGCCAUGCCGCGGGUAUGAAGAAGGCCUUCGGGUUGUAAAGUACUUUCAGCGAGGAGGCGUUACUCGCAGAAGAAGCACCGGCUAACUCCGUGCCAGCAGCCGCGGUAAUUC